GUGGCGAACGGGUGAGUAACACGUGGGUAAUCUGCCCUGUACUCUGGGAUAAGCCUGGGAAACUGGGUCUAAUACCGGAUAUGACCUUUCACCGCAUGGUGGGGGGUGGAAAGUUCCGGCGGUAUGGGAUGAACCCGCGGCCUGUCAGCUUGUUGGUGGGGUAAUGGCCUACCAAGGCGACGACGGGUAGCCGGCCUGAGAGGGUGACCGGCCACACUGGGACUGAGACACGGCCCAGACUCCUACGGGAGGCAGCAGUGGGGAAUAUUGCACAAUGGGCGCAAGCCUGAUCCAGCAAUGCCGCGUGUGUGAAGAAGGCCUUCGGGUUGUAAAGCACUUUUAUCGGGAACGAAAUACCACGGGUUAAUAACCUAUGGGGCUGACGGUACCCGAGGAAUAAGCACCGGCUAACUUCGUGCCAGCAGCCGCGGUAAUACGAAGGGUGCAAGCGUUAAUCGGAAUUACUGGGCGUAAAGCGC
rnacentral:rRNA from 1 species